rnacentral:rRNA from 1 species
UGGAUAAGUCAUGCAAGUCGAACGGGGGCCCGCAAGGGCAACCGGCAAACGAGGUAGUAACACGUAGGUAGACCCCCAGAGUCGGGCAUAGCCAGCCGAAAGGUUGGGUAAUUCCCGAUAGUCCCGAAAGGGUAAAGGUUGUUCGCUCUGGGAGUUGCCUGCGUAGUAUCAGCUAGUUGGUAGGGUAAUGGCCUACCAAGGCUACGACGCUUAGGGGAGCUGAGAGGCUGACCCUCACCGAUGGAACUGCGACACGGUCCUUACUCCUACGGGAGGCUGCAGACGAGAAUAUUCCGCAAUGGGCGAAAGCCUGACGGAGCGACGCCGCGUGAUUGAUGAAGUGCUUCGGUACGUAAAGAUCUUUUAUCGGGGACGAAGUUUAUUGACGGUACCCGAUGAAUAAGGGGCUCCUAACUCUGUG